rnacentral:rRNA from 1 species
UGGGGAAUAUUGCACAAUGGGCGCAAGCCUGAUGCAGCCAUGCCGCGUGUGUGAAGAAGGCCUUCGGGUUGUAAAGCACUUUCAGCGAGGAGGAAGGUGGUGAGCUUAAUACGCUCAUCAAUUGACGUUACUCGCAGAAGAAGCACCGGCUAACUCCGUGCCAGCAGCCGCGGUAAUACGGAGGGUGCAAGCGUUAAUCGGAAUUACUGGGCGUAAAGCGCACGCAGGCGGUUUGUUAAGUCAGAUGUGAAAUCCCCGGGCUCAACCUGGGAACUGCAUUUGAAACUGGCAAGCUAGAGUCUCGUAGAGGGGGUAGAAUUCCAGGUGUAGCGGUGAAAUGCGUAGAGAUCUGGAGAAUACCGGUGGCGAAGGCGGCCCCCUGGACGAAGACUGACGCUCAGGUGCGAAAAGCGUGGGGAGCAAACAGGAUUAGAUACCCCUGGUAGUCCACGCUGUAAACGAUGUCGAUUUUGGAGGUUGUGCCCUUGAGGCGUGGCUUCCGGAGCUAACGCGUUAAAUCGACCGCCUGGGGAGUACGGCCGCAAGGUUAAAACUCAAAGGAAUUGGAC